rnacentral:rRNA from 1 species
AUUGAACGCUGGCGGCAGGCUUAACACAUGCAAGUCGAACGAGUGGCGGACGGGUGAGUAAUGCUUGGGAAUCUAGCUUAUGGAGGGGGAUAACUACGGGAAACUGUAGCUAAUACCGCGUACCAUAGGAUGAGCCCAAGUGGGCUUAGGUAGUUGGUGAGGUAAAGGCUCACCAAGCCGACGAUCUCUAGCUGGUCUGAGAGGAUGACCAGCCAAACUGGGACUGAGAAACGGCCCAGACUCCUACGGGAGGCAGCAGUGGGUAAUAUUGCGCAAUGGGUGCAACCCUGAUGCAGCCAUGCCGCGUGUAGGAUGAAGGCCUUCGGGUUGUAAAGUACUUUCAGUCGGGAGGCGUUACCGACAGAAGAAGCACCGGCUAACGCCGUGCCAGCAGCCGCGGUAAUUC